UCGAUACCCUUGGUGCCGAAGAUAAACACAUUAAGCACUCCGCCUGGGGAGUACGGCCGCAAGGCUGAAACUCAAAGGAAUUGACGGGGACCCGCACAAGCAGUGUAGUAUGUGGUUUAAUUCGAAGCAACGCGAAGAACCUUACCAGGUCUUGACAUCCCUCUGACCGCUGUAGAGAUAUGGCUUUCCUUCGGGACAGAGGAGACAGGUGGUGCAUGGUUGUCGUCAGCUCGUGUCGUGAGAUGUUGGGUUAAGUCCCGCAACGAGCGCAACCCUUGACUUUAGUUGCCAGCAAGUGAAGUUGGGCACUCUAGAGUGACUGCCGGUGACAAACCGGAGGAAGGUGGGGAUGACGUCAAAUCAUCAUGCCCCUUAUGACCUGGGCUACACACGUACUACAAUGGCCGGUACAACGGGAAGCGAAGGAGCGAUCUGGAGCGAAUCCUAGAAAAGCCGGUCUCAGUUCGGAUUGCAGGCUGCAACUCGCCUGCAUGAAGUCGGAAUUGCUAGUAAUCGCGGAUCA
rnacentral:rRNA from 1 species